CCCCCUAUCACUUUUCUUAUGGUCCGCCCCUAAUAUAAUCCUUGUUCAGCAUGCCACUUAACUUGAAGACCUUUUGACAGCAGUGUCACACUGAUGCAUCCCCUCGAUAGAAAAUCAGAACUUCUCUGACAUGCUUAUAGACUUAUUAUAAUACAAUCUGUGUUUGUACUGUGGAAGUACUCAACAAGUGGCAAAGGUGUCGAAAUGACCUAACUGAUCAUCUGUCAACACAAGGCAAACUCUCGAUUUAGGGUUAGGUUUAUGAUUUAUGUUAGGAUUAGGGUUUGGAUUAACAUUGAAGAUGAGAUCAAGUCUGUUCUGCGCAUGUGCUAUGUGAGGGCCCUCUGAU
rnacentral:lncRNA from 1 species